UUACAUCCGUAUCGGAUUAGGGACUACCAUUGAAAUGAAUGGUAAACGCGUUUAGGGGAAAUUAGCUAAAGAACUCACCCUCCCAGAAAUUGCCAUUAUAUUGCAUACUCCAACUCAAAAGGUGGCGGUAAUGCACUACCCAGUUUACCAAGUGCCAAAUACCCAAAGAAAAAAGAAGAAGAGGUUUCGAGAUCUGAUUAGUUAUCGUAACUUUCCGUUCGUUUACAGCGCACAGCAGACUUUUCUUUCACCCUGAAGGCUGAGUUCAGCGCCUGGCAGGGCCGUCGAUCCCCCCAUGCAAGUUGCCCUAGCGUCUGGCAGGGUAGCUAUUAUGUUUCCUCCACAGCGAUAGAAGGUCAGCUCAGUCACAGUGGCACUGGGGACACAUGUCGUCUCCCACUGAAGCUCCUCGGUGGCAGAUGACUGCAGUGUCAGGUGUUAUGGAGGAGACACAUGGCUGUCUGCAGUCCAAAUCCUGCUCCACACUACAGGGAGCAGUGACUGACGGCUACUGACCAUUACGUCUGUCUUUCCAGUGGACAAAGGUUUAUUAGGAGAAGGAGACGAGGGAACCAGGAGAUGAGCAACGAGACAAUCAAUCUGGACCAAGAGCCGGCAUUCCAAGCAGCCCGGACCUAAGCUGUCAAACCGAUCGAAGGAAGCACAGCUGCACAAUUACGUUCAGUGCAGCUGUGGAGGUUGGAGAACUGUGACAACAGAGACCAUAGGACCACCUGGAGAGAAGUUGUCACCUGUGUCUAUGGAGGCUCAAUGCAAUAACAUCCUGCAGCUCUUCGCUCUCUCCAGCCUCUGGUCCAGACAGAGGGGAGCCUCCCAGUCCUAAUCACAUAGAGGAAGUGUCUUUAUCACUGCUUUCUCUGUGCUGCUGGGUUUGGGAGACUCUUCACAUAACCAGUGGUGUUGGCCUCCAUCUGUAAACAGAAGACGGUCAAGACAAGUGGUUGUCAUAAAUAUUGUGUUUAUAUAUAUAUAUGUAUAUAAUGUAAUUAAGAAAAUAAAAGAACUGCUUUGUCUGAAGAUGCUGUAGAU
rnacentral:lncRNA from 1 species